rnacentral:rRNA from 1 species
AGGGUUCGAUUCUGGCUCAGGAUGAACGCUGGCGGCGUGCUUAACACAUGCAAGUCGAACGGGAUCCAUCAGGCUUUGCUUGGUGGUGAGAGUGGCGAACGGGUGAGUAAUGCGUGACCGACCUGCCCCAUACACCGGAAUAGCUCCUGGAAACGGGUGGUAAUGCCGGAUGCUCCGACUCCUCGCAUGGGGUGUCGGGAAAGAUUAUAUCGGUAUGGGAUGGGGUCGCGUCCUAUCAGGUAGUCGGCGGGGUAACGGCCCACCGAGCCUACGACGGGUAGCCGGCCUGAGAGGGCGACCGGCCACAUUGGGACUGAGAUACGGCCCAGACUCCUACGGGAGGCAGCAGUGGGGAAUAUUGCACAAUGGGCGCAAGCCUGAUGCAGCGACGCCGCGUGCGGGAUGACGGCCUUCGGGUUGUAAACCGCUUUUGAUCGGGAGCAAGCCUUCGGGUGAGUGUACCUUUCGAAUAAGCACCGGCUAACUACGUGCCAGCAGCCGCGGUAAUACGUAGGGUGCAAGCGUUAUCCGGAAUUAUUGGGCGUAAAGGGCUCGUAGGCGGUUCGUCGCGUCCGGUGUGAAAGUCCAUCGCUUAACGGUGGAUCUGCGCCGGGUACGGGCGGGCUGGAGUGCGGUAGGGGAGACUGGAAUUCCCGGUGUAACGGUGGAAUGUGUAGAUAUCGGGAAGAACACCAAUGGCGAAGGCAGGUCUCUGGGCCGUUACUGACGCUGAGGAGCGAAAGCGUGGGGAGCGAACAGGAUUAGAUACCCUGGUAGUCCACGCCGUAAACGGUGGAUGCUGGAUGUGGGGCCCGUUCCACGGGUUCCGUGUCGGAGCUAACGCGUUAAGCAUCCCGCCUGGGGAGUACGGCCGCAAGGCUAAAACUCAAAGAAAUUGACGGGGGCCCGCACAAGCGGCGGAGCAUGCGGAUUAAUUCGAUGCAACGCGAAGAACCUUACCUGGGCUUGACAUGUUCCCGACAGCCGUAGAGAUAUGGCCUCCCUUCGGGGCGGGUUCACAGGUGGUGCAUGGUCGUCGUCAGCUCGUGUCGUGAGAUGUUGGGUUAAGUCCCGCAACGAGCGCAACCCUCGCCCUGUGUUGCCAGCACGUCAUGGUGGGAACUCACGGGGGACCGCCGGGGUCAACUCGGAGGAAGGUGGGGAUGACGUCAGAUCAUCAUGCCCCUUACGUCCAGGGCUUCACGCAUGCUACAAUGGCCGGUACAACGGGAUGCGACACGGCGACGUGGAGCGGAUCCCUGAAAACCGGUCUCAGUUCGGAUUGGAGUCUGCAACCCGACUCCAUGAAGGCGGAGUCGCUAGUAAUCGCGGAUCAGCAACGCCGCGGUGAAUGCGUUCCCGGGCCUUGUACACACCGCCCGUCAAGUCAUGAAAGUGGGCAGCACCCGAAGCCGGUGGCCUAACCCCUUGUGGGAUGGAGCCGUCUAAGGUGAGGCUCGUGAUUGGGACUAAGUCGUAACAAGGUAGCCGUACCGGAAGGGGCGGCUG